rnacentral:lncRNA from 1 species
CCUGGUAGUAUAAAUGACUGAUUCCCUACAGUGCCAGAUAAACACAAGUUCAUUAUCCUUAAUUUCAGUUUCUUUUUGCAAUUUCCCCUUUUGACAAGAAAUAGGUAUAUGAAAUCCAAGCUUUUCCAGAUUCAUAGGUGUUUCCUCACUUGAGAGUGUGGGCCAGCACAAGGACAGGAUUCUUGAUUUAGUAAGAUUCAUUAUUAUUUUAAUUAUUUAAUAUUAAUUUAUUUAAUAUGAGGAUUCCCGAUCAUUUUCACACCCAGGGAAGUCUACUUAAUGAUGUCACAAAAAAACAAAAACUCUUACAGCAAGCCAGAGAUGAUUAUGUCACUAAUGGAUUGGUAUGAGCUGGUAUAACCUUCAUGGAAGGCUUGGAAACAGCAGUUCCAGAGUGCCAGGAUGGGUCAGGCUGGAAGGGCCCAGAGUGGCUCAUGUGGUGCCACCUCCCCGCUCCAGCAGGGCCAUCCCAGAGCCCAGGGCCCAGGAGUGUGUCCAGAGGGCUCGGGAAUAUCCCCAGGGAGGAGACUCCCCAGGCUCUCUGGACAAUCUGCUCAGGGCUGGGCAGUGCCCAGGGCAGAAGCUCUGCCUCCUGGGCAGGGGAAUUGCUGGGCUCAGGCCCUGCCCGUGGCUCUGGUGCCAUUGCUGGGCCCCGGAGCAGAGCCCGGGCCCUGCUCUGCCCCUCCCUGCAGCCAGGGCCAGCCAGGCCUGAGGGCCCCUCUCAGCUGGGGCUCCUCUCCAGGCUGAGCAGCCCCAGCUCCCGCAGCCUUUCCUGGCCACUGAGAUGCUCCAGGCCCUUCCUCAGCUGCGCAGCCUCCGCUGGCCCCGCUCCAGGAGCUCCCUGGCCCUGCUGUGCUGAGGAUCCCAUUGGACCUGUGUCCCCCAGGACACUCUGCUGGUCAGGGGCAACUCAGUGUCCACCAGGACCCCCAGGUCAUUCUCCACAGUUGCUCCAGCAGCAAAUCUCUUCUCCGUUGAUUUUAGAGCAGACCACUGAGUGCUUGAUCCAUCUGUUUUGCAGGUCUUUGCCCCAAACGAGGAAAGGUGACUGUGGUGGUUUAUCAGAUGUGAUGUUGAUAUUGUCCAAGAGCUUGGAGAAAAGAACUGGCAAAAUGUGGUGUGGUAAGUGCAGCUCUUCAGGGGUUAUCACUGCUCUAAAAUCUGUCUUUCCCAUUGUUUAGGAAC